UACGAAGGGGGCUAGCGUUGUUCGGAAUCACUGGGCGUAAAGCGCACGUAGGCGGAUUUUUAAGUCAGGGGUGAAAUCCCGAGGUUCAACCUCGGAACUGCCUUUGAUACUGGAGAUCUUGAGUCCGGAAGAGGUAAGUGGAACUGCGAGUGUAGAGGUGAAAUUCGUAGAUAUUCGCAAGAACACCAGUGGCGAAGGCGGCUUACUGGUCCGGAACUGACGCUGAGGUGCGAAAGCGUGGGGAGCAAACAGGG
rnacentral:rRNA from 1 species